rnacentral:rRNA from 1 species
CCCUUAGAUGUUCUGGGCCGCACGCGUGCUACACUGAGUGGAUCAGCGGGUCAGGUUGCGCGAAAGUGUUUCCUAACCUUGAAAUCCGCUCGUGAUGGGGAUUGACGGUUGCAAUUUUCCGUCAUGAACGAGGAAUACCUUGUAAGCGCGGGUCAUCAUCCCGCGCUGAAUACGUCCCUGCCCUUUGUACACACCGCCCGUCGCUCCUACCGAUUGAGUGGUCCGGUGAGGCUUUGGGAUCUGAGCGGAAAGAGCGUUUCGCUGUUUCUGCUCGGAAAACUCAGUCGAACCUUAUCAUUUAGAGGAAGGAGAAGUCGUAACA